UUAACUCAAAUUUGUAUGCAGUUGCAACGUUUGCCUACGUUUGCCGCUAGAGGCGCUGUUCCGGCUACGUACAAAUUCGAGUUA
rfam:Bombyx mori DNA, contig: Bm_scaf32_contig19678, strain: p50T/Dazao, build 2, whole genome shotgun sequence.